CGUGUAGGCGGUUGGGCAAGUCAGAUGUGAAAGCCUUCCGCUCAACGGAAGAAGGGCAUUUGAAACUACCCGGCUGGAGUACGGGAGAGGAGAGUGGAAUUCCCGGUGUAGAGGUGAAAUUCGUAGAUAUCGGGAGGAACACCAGUGGCGAAGGCGGCUCUCUGGUCCGAUACUGACGCUGAGACGCGAAAGCGUGGGGGGCAAACAGGAUUAGAUACCCUGGUAGUCCACGCCGUAAACGAUGGGCACUAGGUGUAGGAGGUAUUGACCCCUUCUGUGCCGAAGCUAACGCAUUAAGUGCCCCGCCUGGGGAGUACGGCCGCAAGGCUAAA
rnacentral:rRNA from 1 species